GCAAUGCUGGGCACUCCAUUCCAGUAACAAGCUCUUGGCCUAAAUUGGCGCAUGCUAGCAGUGAAUGGUGCGUUGGCCCAGUUUGUUUUCACACGACCUCCUUGUGUUGCCCAAUCAUCUGCAUUCCACAAACUGGUAUGAGACACAUGGAGAUAUAAUCGAGAAAAAUGAUAUUAUUUGUCACCUGUACUGUUGUCCAAAACAAGCUGAAGGCUAUCCCCUAGUAUUUUGGACUGACUAUUUCCCCAGCUUAUGACCAUGUUCUUUGAAAUAUUUGCAUCAACAACAAUAUGAUUAGACACAAUCACACAGACCAAAAAGGCUAAAGAAAAAGAUUGAAACCUUGCCAUUUCAAUCCCAAUAUCAGGCGAUCGAGAGUGAGUUGAUCGAGGGUUUACUUUGAAGGUAGUGCGUUUAUCAAUGAUCAAAGCAAUUAGAGGGUGAAGAAGAAGAUGCACAGAAGAUUAUAGUGGUUUGACUUUCAUUGUUCAGAAGACGAAAUUCGGGUGGUUGAGUUGAGCUGGUGGCUGAGCUGGGUUGACUUUACAAAACAACAAAUCUCUCUCUUGAAGUAAAUUCAGCUUGGAGACAUUCAACUUGUUAAUUACUCUUUUCUGUCUAAAUCCACUACUUUGAGUAGAUUUAAACAAAGGUCAAAGUUAGGUUUGGGUAAUGAUUUUGUUAGAAAAUCUACAACAGUUUUCUUCUGUUUUAACUUUAAUAUUCUGAUUACUCAAUUUUCAACCAUUUCUCUGACAAAAUGUAGUUUGACAUCGAUAUGCUUAGUUCGGUCGUGGUAUUGUUGGUUUCUGGUGAGAUGGAUUGCGCAUACUGCUUCUUGUCUGUACUCUUAGGCAAAUCCAGUUAGGGGUCUUCUUUUAUCAGAAUCCAAAGUCAGCGUCCAUGAAUUCUUUAAUCGAUAGUUUAUGUUCAUUAGGAUGUUCAGUUUCAAAUAGGUAUCUGAAUACCCAUUUGGCUGCCUCCGAAUGAUUCUUGCUAGGGUUCCCCAUGUAACGACUAACAAAGCUUGAGUUGUGUGCUAGAUUUGGUUUAGUAUAGACCAUUAAGUACAUCAAGCUUCCUGUGGUAUUAGAACAGAGGAUAUGGCUCUUGGCUUGUUUGUCAGCUGGCUCUUUAGGAGAAUCUCUUGUUUGAGAGUUUAACGUGUUGUGCUAGAGGUGCAGAGACCGAAGGAAUCCAUUCCUUGUAAAAGCAUGUGAACGUCAUGUAAUUGAAUUUCAAUUUUGGAAAACAUCAAAAUCAGAGAUGAACAUACAAUCUUAUGUACAACAGUCUAUAAGCAUGCUUUCUACAUAGAAUUAGAGA